AGAGUUACAAGGAGUGGCUGCAAUGUAAUGACACUCAUUCUGCAAGCCCCAUGUGGAAAUCAGUCGCCUUUCUUUAGAGCCACAUCUUACAGGAGGG
rnacentral:miRNA from 1 species